AAGACUAUACUUUCAGGAAUCAUUUCUAUAGUUUCUAACUUGAGAAAAUGUGUUUCUAGAGUGUAUGGUCUCGCCAACAAUGAUGAUGAGUUGUGAUAGUUCCUUUAUGGAGUAUGAAAUCUGAAAGAGAUUAAUGAUAUGUUUCAUAUGUUGUAUAUUGUUGAUGAUUGUUCAUUGCUUUCUGGAAGAGCAGUAAAACAGAGAAUAUGUUCAGAGUGGU
rnacentral:snoRNA from 1 species